rnacentral:rRNA from 1 species
AGUGAACGCUGGCGGUAGGCCUAACACAUGCAAGUCGAACGGCAGCACAGUAAGAGCUUGCUCUUACGGGUGGCGAGUGGCGGACGAGUGAGGAAUACAUCGGAAUCUACUUUUUCGUGGGGGAUAACGUAGGGAAACUUACGCUAAUACCGCAUACGACCUACGGGUGAAAGCAGGGGAUCUUCGGACCUUGCGCGAUUGAAUGAGCCGAUGUCGGAUUAGCUAGUUGGCGGGGUAAAGGCCCACCAAGGCGACGAUCCGUAGCUGGUCUGAGAGGAUGAUCAGCCACACUGGAACUGAGACACGGUCCAGACUCCUACGGGAGGCAGCAGUGGGGAAUAUUGGACAAUGGGCGCAAGCCUGAUCCAGCCAUACCGCGUGGGUGAAGAAGGCCUUCGGGUUGUAAAGCCCUUUUGUUGGGAAAGAAAAGCAGCAGGUUAAUACCCCGCUGUUCUGACGGUACCCAAAGAAUAAGCACCGGCUAACUCCGUG